CGCCAUCUUAGUCAGAGCUGAGCCACUGAGCAGAGCACUCGCACAUGGAACGAGCUGACGAACCGGGGAAAAGUCGUGUGAGUGUGCGUGAGCGAGAGCGGAGCCGAGUUUCACCGUGUAAGCCUCUGAGAACUCCGACUGGUUUUCCUUUUGGGUUUUGUUGAUGGAUUAGGACUUCAUUCCAAUUCCGGACCAAGGAGGUUCGGUGGCGAGCCACAAGGACAAGCGAUUCAGACGGAACGGUGCACGGUCUGGCCAGCUGUGGG